rnacentral:rRNA from 1 species
CCUACGGGGGGCUGCAGUGGGGAAUAUUGGACAAUGGGCGAAAGCCUGAUCUAGCCAUGCCGCGUGUGUGAAGAAGGCCUUCGGGUUGUAAAGCACUUUCAGUGGGGAAGAAAGCCUUGGGGCUAAUACCCUCGAGGAAGGACAUCACCCACAGAAGAAGCACCGGCUAACUCCGUGCCAGCAGCCGCGGUAAUACGGAGGGUGCGAGCGUUAAUCGGAAUUACUGGGCGUAAAGCGCGCGUAGGCGGUCUGAUAAGCCGGUUGUGAAAGCCCCGGGCUCAACCUGGGAACGGCAUCCGGAACUGUCAGGCUAGAGUGCAGGAGAGGAAGGUAGAAUUCCCGGUGUAGCGGUGAAAUGCGUAGAGAUCGGGAGGAAUACCAGUGGCGAAGGCGGCCUUCUGGACUGACACUGACGCUGAGGUGCGAAAGCGUGGGUAGCAAACAGGAUUAGAUACCCUUGUAGUC